UACGUAGGUGGCAAGCGUUGUCCGGAUUUACUGGGCGUAAAGAGCGCGCAGGCGGUCGUCCAAGUCGAGUGUGAAAGCCCCCGGCUCAACUGGGGAGGGUCACUCGAUACUGAUCGACUCGAAGGCAGAAGAGGGAAGCGGAAUUCCCGGUGUAGUGGUGAAAUGCGUAGAUAUCGGGAGGAACACCAGUGGCGAAGGCGGCUUUCUGGUCUGCUCUUGACGCUGAGGCGCGAAAGCUAGGGUAGCAAACGGG
rnacentral:rRNA from 1 species